rnacentral:tRNA from 1 species
UUACUGGUAGGUUAAUUAAACUGGCAAAUUGUGGUUUUGUUGAUUACUUCUUUGUAUC